GAUGAACGCUGGCGGCGUGCCUAAUACAUGCAAGUCGAGCGAAUGGAUUAAGAGCUUGCUCUUAUGAAGUUAGCGGCGGACGGGUGAGUAACACGUGGGUAACCCGCCCAUAAGACUGGGAUAACUCCGGGAAACCGGGGCUAAUACCGGAUAACAUUUUGAACCGCAUGGUUCGAAAUUGAAAGGCGGCUUCGGCUGUCACUUAUGGAUGAACCCGCGUCGCAUUAGCUAGUUGGUGAGGUAACGGCUCACCAAGGCAACGAUGCGUAGCCGACCUGGUAGGGUGAUCGGCCCCACUGGGACUGAGGCACGGCCCAGACUCCUACGGGAGGAAGCAGUAGGGAAUCUUCCGCAAUGGACGAAAGUCUGACGGAGCAACGCCGCGUGGGUGAUGAAGGCUUUCGGGUCGUAAAACUCUGUUGUUAGGGAAGAACAAGUGCUAGUUGAAUAAGCUGACACCUUGACGGUACCUAACCAGAAAGCCACGGCUAACUACGUGCCAGCAGCCGCGGUAA
rnacentral:rRNA from 1 species